AAAUGCUAAGUAGAUGGAGUGAUGUG
rnacentral:piRNA from 1 species